CAGCCGCCGCGGGAAUACGUAGGUGGCAAGCGUUAUCCGGAAUUAUUGGGCGUAAAGCGCGCGUAGGCGGUUUUUUAAGUCUGAUGUGAAAGCCCACGGCUCAACCGUGGAGGGUCAUUGGAAACUGGAAAACUUGAGUGCAGAAGAGGAAAGUGGAAUUCCAUGUGUAGCGGUGAAAUGCGCAGAGAUAUGGAGGAACACCAGUGGCGAAGGCGACUUUCUGGUCUGUAACUGACGCUGAUGUGCGAAAGCGUGGGGAUCAAACAGGAUUAGAGACCCCGGUAGUCCCUGUCUCUUAUAC
rnacentral:rRNA from 1 species